AAACAAUAUAAUUAUAUUUCAAUUAAAUUGAUAUCCUUUGAACAGAAUGCCUCUAUUAGCAACACUCACUAACGUUUACCGUCGCUGGACUCAUUCACAAAAACAACGUGGUUCCAAAAAGGAGGUAGAAAUUUCGUUAGCUGUACUAGGUGUUAUCUUCAUUACUGACGUGUUUUACUAUCUGUGCGUUGAACGCAGAAAUAAGUAAAAGACAGCCUUCAAUAAAGGAACUCAUUAUGCAGUAAUGAAAUUUUAAAACA